CCUACGGGAGGCAGCAGUGGGGGAUAUUGCACAAUGGGGGCAACCCUGAUGCAGCGACGCCGCGUGGGCGAAGAAGUAUCUCGGUAUGUAAAGCCCUAUCUGCAGGGAAGAAGACAUGACGGUGCCUGAGUCAGAAGCACCGGCUAAAGACGUGCCAGCAGCCGCGGUAAUACGUAUGGUGCCAGCGGUAUGCGGAUUUACUGGGUGUAAAGGGAGCGCAGGCGGGACGGCAUGCCUGAUGUGAAAGCCCGCGGCCCAAACGGGGGACUGCAUUGGAAACUACCGGGCUGGAGUGGCGGAGAGGUAGGCGGAAUGCGUGGUGUAGCGGUGAAAUGCGUAGAUAUUAGGAAGAACACCAGUGGCGAAGGCGGCCUACUGGACGGUGACUGACGCUGAGGCUCGAAAGCGUGGGGAGCAAACAGGAUUAGAUACCCUAGUAGUC
rnacentral:rRNA from 1 species